AGAGUUUGAUCCUGGUUCAGAAUGAACGUUGGCGGCGUGGAUUAGGCAUNCAAGUCGAGCGUGAUUNUUUUANCAAUAAAAGAUGAAAGCGACAAAAAUGGAUAGUAACACGUGGAUACGUACCCUCGGNUCUGGGAUAGCGGCGGGGAAACUGCCGGUAAUACCCAGAUAAUGUUUUUCGGACCNAAAGAUUUAUUNCCCGAGGAGCGGUCCGCGUCCUAUUAGGUAGUUGGCGGGGUAAUGGCCCACCAAGCCGAAGAUGGGUAGCGGGUGUGAGAGCAUGGCCCGCAUCACUGGGACUGAGACACUGCCCAGACACCUACGGGUGGCUGCAGUCGCGAAUCUUCCACAAUGGACGAAAGUCUGAUGGAGCGACGCCGCGUGCGGGAUGAAGGCCUUCGGGUUGUAAACCGCUGUCGAGGGGAAUCAAAUUUUGAGUGAUCCCUGGAGGAAGCACCGGCUAAACUCGUGCCAGCAGCCGCGGUAAUACGAGUGGUGCAAACGUUGUUCGGAAUUACUGGGCUUAAAGGGUGCGUAGGCGGCUAUGAAGGUCUGAUGUGAAAUGCCACGGCUCAACCGUGGAACUGCGUUGGAAACCACAUGGCUGGAGUGAGACAGAGGUAAGCGGAACUGAUGGUGGAGCGGUGAAAUGCGUUGAUAUCAUCAGGAACACCGGUGGCGAAAGCGGCUUACUGGGUCUUUACUGACGCUGAUGCACGAAAGCUAGGGGAGCAAACGGGAUUAGAUACCCCGGUAGUCCUAGCUGUAAACGAUGAGUACUAGUCCGUGGGGACCCCCACAUCCUCUCGGACGUAGCGAAAGUGUUAAGNCUCCGCCUGGAGA
rnacentral:rRNA from 1 species